rnacentral:rRNA from 1 species
AUGAACCCAAGUGGUUGCGGUGAUAGUGACUUGAAAAUGAUUGCGCAAGGAUUAUUUCGAGUGAGGAACAUGAAAGGCGAGAAGAAGAAGAAACAAGGAAAAGCUUUCACUUUUCAUCAUUGCUACAAAGAGCUUAAGGAUGAGGAGAAGUGGAAAACUAGAGAGACUUUUGAUGCUUCGAAGAAGAAGAGUGUGGUGAUUGAGGAUGAAGAUGUCGCCGGUGAGGAAAGAAGGAGCCCCACUCCUCACUCCGCGACAAAAUCUUAUAGGCCCAAUGGAAACAAGAAAGUGAAGAGAGCCAAGGCCAGAGACAAUGAUCUCAAGGAAGGAUUUGAUGCCAUUGUCACGACAAGGAAAGAGUAUGCUGAAGAAAAAGAAUGUUGA